UUCAAACUGGUGAAUGAAUGAAUAUUAAAAAACCAAGCUGAGGCACAGUGUGCUCUUAAAUAAAAUUGCUCUGGCAGUGAAUGUCAUUGAACAUUUAAGCAGGAUGACUCAUCACACUCUUCCCUUACUUUCUCCUAUCGGAGGAAGUUCUCCACGAACUUCUCCAAUAUGAGCCUUUCCUGUGGGCUGCAGUUCUUCGUGAGCAUGUAGCAGAGAACAGUGAAAAGACAUGGUUGGAUAUCAUAGAAUCAUUAAGGUUGGAAAAGAUCUCCAAGACAUCGUGGUGCUUGUAUAUUAUACAUUUUUGUGACUUCCAGGCUAUUACUUUGAGCAGUUUGUGUUAUGCUGACAAGAUGACUCUUAUUUAGUUUUGUUACUUGGCUCCCCUUUCUCUUGUAAUGGAGAGUUAACUUCAGGAAAUAGUCAUGGAAAUCAUAUAAAUGUUGGUUGAAAGGGAUCUCAGAAGAUCGCAUACUGUAAUCUUCCUCUUAAUGAGGAAUAACACUCUAUCUGGUCUUUCUUGGUUUUGUCUGGUGCAAUUUUUUCAAAACUUCAAGGAAUGAGAUCACAUAAUCUCUCUGGGGAAUUUCAGACGUGAAAUUGUUUUUCAUCCAGUCUGAACCUUCCAAACUACAGUUCAUGGCACAUUCUGGUGUGAAUUACAAUCUUGUUUGACAUAACUUUUUGGCUUCCCUUUGUAUUUCUUUUGCCAGCUUUAUAGAAUUCAUGAAAUAGCUUUAGUGAAGCUUUCAUUUAAAAAUGAACAGAACACUCUAUGGAGUAGAAUUACUAGAUCCAUUAUGGUUUAGCUUUUUAUUGCCUAGGAAUAAAACAAAAGUCAAGGUUUGCUUUUAUUCAUGCCACAUUAUAGCUCAUUGUUCACCAUAAAUUGACAGGUUAAAAUUUUUUUUUAAAAAGAAAGAAUUUUUAUAAUUAUUUCCAGAGAAAAAGUAAUACUGAAUAAGAGUUAGGUAUAAAUUUAAUUUGAGGUUAUAGCCAUAAAAAUAUGCCAGUCUUUUCAAUAUCUGCUUUCACUGUUCUUUGAAAUUGGCCAAUUUUUAUAUCUUCUCCACAAACAAUAAAACCUUGUUAUUAUAUGCAGUUGAGAAGGAAGUUUUAUGUAAUAUAUAUUCCCACAUCAGCUUGAUUAUCAGUGCUUCAAGCAACUGGGUUCAAUUUACACACAUACUACUUUGGGGUGGGUUGUAGAAUUAUUUCAGUAUAGAGACUUUCUGAUGAGGUAGAAAAUUUGUCAAAAAGUCAUUACGGAAAUAGAUGUAUAACUGCUGUAGAAUAAAUAUGGCAGAUGACACAAAGAAAACUUAUUUAAAUAAGAGCAUGGAAUAGAUUUUUUUUUUAAGUGAUUUUUUGCUUUGGUUUGGGUUUUUUUGUUAAAUUAUAUAAAAGCAGUAACUUCUGUGGAGCUAUGAACAUGCUAGGCAUCGUGCAGUCUGUAAUUCAAGGUUUUGCUUUUGAAGCGUCCGAGUAUCUCUAAGGACCCUAGGGCCUACAUAGUUUACACAGAGAAGUAACUUUGUUCACAGUCACAAUCCUGGUAAAGCAGUCUAAUUGUGUGCUAGAUAUCCAAUUUUACCACGCAAAAAGAGCACAUAUCUAAACACAUUGUGAUUUAGCAAUAAAGUUUAGCAUCUUCUCAAGUUACCAUCACUUUGCAUCCAUGUGUAUUAGUGCAGCAAUGACUUUCAAAAACAUAGAGAAAAAUUGUGCAAAACAAAAUAACCAACCAGAAUAAAUGAUUCAGGGAUUUUUGAGCCAGAUUGACCAUAAAGAAUAUUAUAGCUUCUAGUCAUCAAUUAAUAAAUUCUUAUUUCUUUUAAAUCCUUUUUUGAAUUAAUUAUGGAAUAAUAUUCUAUAGUAAUAAAUUUUCAGUGUAAACUUCAUGUAGUAUGCAGAAAUUAUUCCUUUGGGAUUUUUUUUAGCCUAUAAUUUGCACAAUAAAUGUACUGUGUGACUUUGGUAUAUAAGUCAUGGGAAAUAAUCCAUUCUCUUUUUUUUUCCCUUCUAUUUGGAGCUUUAUAGAGUUUGCCAAACAUACUUCUCUUUCUUUUCUCCUUUCCAAGGUGAAAAAUUCUAUUCUUUCCCCAUGCAGAAGAUGUUCCAGGCUUGUGUUGUCUAUUGUUGCAACCCUCUUCUGACAGAAAUGGGGUCAAAGAUAAGAGGAGUCAGCAGAAGUGAUCGGGUACUAAUAAAAUUUUUUUAAAUGCUGAGUAGUUUGACAUUCUUGGAGAGACAAGAAAGAGGAACUAAAGACAAGGAUAUUGAAGUACUUUUGCUAGAGUUACUAAGAAGACAUAAAGGCAAAAGAGAGAUGACUUUGGAAUGAAGAGCUGUCAUUGCCUAAGAGAAACGACGUGCAAUAAACUGCACAAUCAGUAUUACUGUUGUAAUUAACUACAGUUGAAUACAGAUAGUGUAUAUGACUGUUACAACCAAAUAGACAUUGAAGUGUGCAGUGUUCAGCUGUAAAUAUUGCUCUGGGUGUCGAGAUACAGCAAGAAAUAAAAGGAAUAGUAAUGUUGGAUAGACUGUGUUGAAUUUGAAAGGUUUCUUCAAUUCUUCUAUUCCUCCUUUUUGUAGACACUACUCAGUAUUUCUAAUGAAUUUUCAUCAAGUUUUUAUGUCAUUCCCUGGAGAAAUAAAACUGCUUGGAAUGUAAUCUGUCAAAAGUUUUUCCCUUUUGUAGUAACAGUGGAUCCUUGCUUUAAGGAGUAAAUUUAAAAGUAAAUAUUUUCAUUACCAAAGGAGUUUCAGUUAUUAAGCAAGUUAUUUAUUGUACAUGAGAUAAAUCUAAACCUUUAUUAUAGGAAUUAGCAGUUAUGAUUAACCUGGUUUUUUCAUUAUUACUAUUAAACUUACUAAACUGUUAAACAUUGAUGCUGAAUAAACACAUGCAGCUAAGUAAAAAUGGAAUGUCAUUUCAGUUUCCUAAUUUGAAUUCCUAAGGCAAAGUUUAAUGGGACAGCUGCGUAGGUGGAUACGAGAUAUUGAUUGAAAAGGAAAAAGACAAAUCCUUUUGGUAGCAUUAAAAUUACACCUAUUAUGAAAGAGAUUUCCUAUCCUACAGAGGGAAUUUAAAUUAAGUGUAUUAAGUGCCUCUGUGGUGUGAGGAAACUUUUCCAGAGGAUGACUGUAAAGAGAUGACUUUCUGUAUGUCAGAGUCACUGACCAUAAGAAUCUGAAACUUUGAGUCAAAAGUCAGUAGAACAAUACUUAGCUCUUGAUAGUAAGAUUCUGUCAGUUGUGCAUCAAUGUGCACAACUAGUUGUGAUCUUCCCCAGAGAUCAUGGUAGAGUGAGUGGGGAUGGUAACUAAAGCAGUGAGACAGGGUUAUUGUAUUCUGGAUCUUAAGGAUAAGAAAAAAAGAAAGAAGACUACGGUGGAUAAAGGUAGGACUAAAAGUAUAACAUUAAAGCAUAUUUAAGCAUGCUUCCUAAUUAAAUAUGGAAAUCAGCAUCCAAAGCAGCAGAACAUACUGCACAUUUUCUAUUAUUUUACUUGUGUUAUCUACCAGUACUGCCUGUUAACCUUGUAACUUAUUCUGAUUCUUCUGGAAGCUGUCUGAUUCCUCCUAAAUGUAAUGAAGUGUAAGGAGGUAAUAACUAGAAAAAUCAAGACAGUUUUACAUUACCUAAGUCUCCUACUGCUUGACCUUAAAACAAUUCAUAAUAUGGCCCUUAGAAAAGACAUUAAAGGGUCUUAAAUGUGAGAGAGAUAUGCAGAGACCUUAAAUUUACAGCUGGGCAUUUGUUAACACAACAU